GAGUAAAAGUCGUAACAAGGUUUCCGUAGGUGAACCUGCGGAAGGAUCAUUCAUAAUAAGUGUUUUAUGGCACUUUUUUAAACCCAUAUCCACCUUGUGUGCAAUGUCAGGGUUGAUUUUUCUCUCGAGAGGAUCAACCCCAAACAUCAACUAUAUCUCAACUCUUUGUCUGAAAAAUAUUAUGAAUAAAACAAUUCAAAAUACAACUUUCAACAACGGAUCUCUUGGCUCUC
rnacentral:misc_RNA from 1 species